GACGUAGGGCGCGAGCGUUGUUCGGAAUUAUUGGGCGUAAAGAGCUCGUAGGCGGUUUGUCGCGUCUGCUGUGAAAACCUAAGGCUCAACCUUGGGCUUGCAGUGGGUACGGGCAGACUAGAGUGCGGUAGGGGUGACUGGAAUUCCUGGUGUAGCGGUGGAAUGCGCAGAUAUCAGGAGGAACACCGGUGGCGAAGGCGGGUCUCUGGGCCGAUACUGACGCUGAGGAGCGAAAGCGUGGGGAGCGAACAGG
rnacentral:rRNA from 1 species